GCUGUAUAGGGAUUUGAUGGUAAUACUAACUAACAUUUUUGCUUGUUCUUGAACCUGAAGGCCCAAACACACAUGAGGGGGAACAGAACAAGUAUGUGCCUGCAACACUUUAUCCCAUAGUGAAAGUACAGUCAAAACAUGAGAGAUCCUUCGACCAGAGGGAAAACAAGCUGAAAAGGAAAGAGACACCUGAAAAGGAAAAUUCACCAGCAUCAGUGACUGAUGGAUGGAUGAAGCCCUGCCUGGGCAACUUCUCUGACAAUGCUUUAGUCAGAGCUACAAAGACAUCUCCUCCAGAACUGCCAACGAACCAGGAAUCUUCUUUGAGACCUUUAACAACGCAAAACAGCACAAGAGUGCAGCUGAAGCAUCCGGGCAGUCCAAACCUCAUAUAUGUCAAACCCAAGGACAAAACAAAAGACUCUGGUAAAAAAAACAACCAUGCCACCACAACUCCAGUUCCUCAGCGGCCACCACCACACCAAGUCCCGAGGAAACUGUGAGCGAAAACACCCACAUUCACAAACCCAGAGCACGCACUCUAGGGGUUCUGAAUGUGCACAAACCCGGAGCAUGCGCUCUAAGGGCUGCAUUUAAAAAACCAAGGACUAAAAGCUUCUGUGAUGCUGAGGUAUUGCAAUCACACAACCAGCACUCUAGUUCCUCAGCGGCCACCAUCACACCAAGCCCUGAAGAAACUGUGAGUGAAAAUGCCCACAUUCACAAAUCCGGAGCAUGCGCUCUAGGGGUUGUGAAUAAAAAACCAAGAACUGACAAACCAUUCUCCCAAACCAUAAG